rnacentral:antisense_RNA from 1 species
GCACUGAACUCCCAGACUUAGCUGGGCCUCAGUGCUCUUCUCGGGUUUGGUCGUAGAGCCCAAGAGGAGGUGGAUAAGCUGCCUGACACUGAUAUAGUAAAAGGAUUAUCUGCAAAUUUCUAGCAUCAUCAAGGUUGGCCUCUUUGAAGAGAUCAGCAAUGUGUUUAGAUGCUGAUGGAAGGAGCCAGAAAAAAGGAAAAGGAGAAUAUUGAGGUGAGACGAGAUCUCCAAAUGCCCAGGUCACAACCCCCAGGAGACCUGGAGAACUGAAUGCUGCUGCCCCCAAGGAGGAGGCUGCUGUCUUAUCCCAGGAGGGAGAGCAGGUGAAGUCCCCAGGGGAGGAAGCACCUAGCCCCAUUCCUGCUGAGCAGGAGGUGGCAGGUACCCCAGACUGGGAGGUAAGGACAGCCCGGGGCUUCAACUGGAACGUCUCCAGCCUGGGUCCGACUGAGCAGCCAUGGAGCAUUGCAGAGUGGGAGGCAGCAGGGCAGGGAGGCAGUGCUGGAGGCUGGCUCAACCCCAAGACCAGCAGGCCAAGCUGCCAUCCCAGGGGAGCCGGGACGUCUGUGCAGAGCUGAGAGGCAGCAGCCAUGUGUGAACAGACUGGCCUCAUCCUGGCCCCCCCCGACUUCUUGUGGACAGAGCCUGUUUCCCUGUCUGUGCAACACAGAACCUGCCUGAUCUCACUGCUGGAUCCCUCUUCUUCCUGCCAGGAAAAUAAAAAGGUUCAAAAGGAAGUUGCUGCGUAUCCAUCUG